CGAUCUCCCACUCCCCAUCUGAGGUUUCUAGCCUUCUCCCCGCUGAUUUCUCCUCUCCGAGCCCUCGUUCUCUUUGCUCGGCUAAAGCGACUAGCGAGGACCAACCAUGAACAUCUUCAAGAAGAAGACCUCCGCCAAAGAUUCUCUUAGGACCAGCAAAAGGGAAAUGACGGUCGCCACAAGAGGUGUGGAAAGGGAGAUCGGUUCCCUGAAGUUAGAGGAGAAAAAACUGGUUGCAGAGAUCAAGAAGACUGCACAAACUGGGAAUGAGGCUGCCACUCGGAUCCUUGCUCGUCAGCUUGUUCGUCUGAGACAACAAAUUACUAACUUGCAGGGAACUCGUGCACAAAUUAGAGGCAUAGCAACUCAUACGCAGGCAAUGUAUGCAAGUACUUCAAUUUCCACAGGAAUGAAAGGUGCAAGCAAGGCAAUGGCAGCAAUGAACAAGCAAAUGGAACCGGCCAAGCAGGCAAAAGUGAUGACAGAGUUCCAGAAGCAGUCAGCACAGAUGGACAUGACGAUUGAGAUGAUGUCUGAGGCUAUAGAUGAAACUUUGGAUAAAGAUGAGGCAGAAGAGGAAACAGAAGAGCUCACUAACCAGGUGCUCGAUGAAAUUGGUGUUGAUGUUGCUUCACAGUUAUCUUCAGCACCUAAAGGUCGGAUUGCAGUCAAUAACAAGAAAGUUGACACAGCCUCAAGUAAUUACUUUGAGCAUCAGAUAUGUCUUGUGGAAUCAAGUUGUAGUAGUCAUUCUUCAUACUCGGUAUAAACACGGGCUACCUCCAUUACAUAUUCAAACGUGCUUUUUUGGAGUCCCUCUAAAUCUUUCCAUGUGUGUACUUGUUAUCAUCGAUAAAGAAAUGUAGCUCCAGAGAAACCUGCAGUUGAUGACCUAGAGAAGAGGUUGGCAUCCCUGCGACGCAUCUGAACGGCUAAAUCUCUUCCGAUGGUUUUGUAUGUAAAGAUCAUUUGCUCGGACAGACAUGUUGUCGAUAGAGAAUUAGUCAUAUCUAUUGUUUUAGGCAUACCCUAUAGUUCUUAUGCAACUACAUGUACACUUUGGAGCUAAGGACAAUGUUGAAACCUGUUGGUGAUUCAGAGCUGCUGCUUCUCUGUUCUUGUGAAUUUGUUAAAUCA